AUUGAACGCUGGCGGCAGGCCUUACACAUGCAAGUCGAACGAGUGGCGGACGGGUGAGUAAUGUCUGGGAAACUGCCUGAUGGAGGGGUAUAACUGCUGGAAACGGUAGCUAAUACCGCAUACCAUCAGAUGUGCCCAGAUCGGAUUAGCUAGUUGGUGGGGUAACGGCUCACCAAGGCGACGAUCCCUAGCGGGUCUGAGAGGAUGACCCGCCACACUGGAACUGAGACACGGGCCAGACUCCUACGGGAGGCAGCAGUGGGGAAUAUUACACAAUGGGCGCAAGCCUGAUUCAGCCAUGCCGCGUGUAUGAAGAAGGCCUUCGGGUUGUAAAGUACUUUCAGCGGGGAGGCGUUACCCGAAGAAGAAGCACCGGCUAACUCCGUGCCAGCAGCCGCGGUAAUAC
rnacentral:rRNA from 1 species